rnacentral:rRNA from 1 species
UGCCAGCCGCCGCGGUAAUACGGAGGGGGUUAGCGUUGUUCGGAAUUACUGGGCGUAAAGCGUACGUAGGCGGAUUAAUAAGUUAGAGGUGAAAUCCCAGAGCUUAACUCUGGAACUGCAUCCAAAACUAUAUUUCUUGAGUUUGGUAGAGGAGAGUGGAAUUCCUAGUGUAGAGGUGAAAUUCGUAGAUAUUAGGAGGAACACCAGUGGCGAAGGCGACUCUCUGGGCCAAUACUGACGCUGAGGUUCGAAAGCGUGGGUAGCGAACAGGAUUAGAUA